rnacentral:tRNA from 1 species
GCCUUCGUGGCCUAACGGAUAAGGCGUCGGCUUUCUAAGGCGAAGAUUGCGGGUUCGAAUCCCGUCGGAGGUA